rnacentral:lncRNA from 1 species
UGGUCUACCAUGAAACCCCCAGUAUCUCUGAGUUAUGCCUUUAUAUGUAAAGGUAGAAAUCUGAUCAAAAGAAUGAAGAGACAAAACUGGAUACUUUAUAAUGCAAAAGGCUACAAUCCACAGUACAUAGCGACAACUGAUAUAAAGAUGAAACAGCAAAAGAUUCAAGGAGAAAUAAAGACAAAUUCAAAAAGGAAAGACUUUUUAUAUGUGCUGCUUUGAUUACUUAGUAUUUUAUAUGAGUUUCUUUCUCUUUGUUCUUUUUCUGGAGUAGAGUUUUUUUUUGCGGGGGAAGGAAUGCUGUACUCGCACUAAAAUUUGAUUUGUUGCUUAAAACAAUAUACUUUCAGAUGAAAAUUUGUGUGUUACAAAAAUAACCACUAUAUUUGGAAUAUACUUGGAAGAUUCACAAAAGUUUUCUAACAGCUUGACUGAAAAGAACAACACAAGAAAUGUAAAGAAAUAAUAUAAAUAAAUUUUGUGGAUAAAAAUAGGAUAAAUUAAUAACAAAAUCAAAAUGCUACUUGCUGCAAAAAUUUAAAAUAUAUAAGCACCAAUAAAGAUGCUAUAUUAAAUACCCUUGAUUCAAAGAAAAAAAUUAGGUAAAUUAUAAUUUUUUAAAGUGUAAUGAUAAUGCAAAGCUAAUAAACUACAAUCUAAGGAAUUCAGCAAAAUCAGGUAUCAGAGGAAUAUUAUAGUAUUAGACACAUAUAUCAACAUAAUACUAUAUAACUAUAAACACCAGUGUCAGAAAACAGCAGCAAAGCCAAACAAAGUAGAAGGACCAGAUAUAAGCAAAAUUAAGUGAUUUCAGAAGUGUAAAUUAAGUUCAGAUACUUUUCUGUAUCUCGUAGAUUAUCAAUU